GACAGCAUGGCCGAGUGGUCUAAGGCGCCAGCUUAAGGCGCUGGUCCGAAAGGGCGUGGGUUCGAACCCCACUGCUGUUACGA
rnacentral:tRNA from 1 species